AUGCCGAUACAGCAACUCGCCCCCAAAUCCCCCGGCCGAAACCCCAUUUCCAGCGACGCCGGCCCAAUCCCCCUCGCCAUGAGCCUGCCGCAGCGCGGCUGGUACUCGCCGCCGGCGCUGGUCGACGACGCGAUGCGCGAGAUCUUCAAGCGCGUCCCUCCGGACGACCCCAGGAGCCUCGUCCGCGCCGCCGCCGUCUGCACGAGCUGGCACGGCAUCCUCUCCGACGCCGACUUCGCCCGCGAGUACCGCGCCUUCCACGGAGCGCCGCCCGUGCUGGGCUUCCUCCACAACACGCGCCACAAGAGGUCGUGGGAAAAGGGGAGAAUCAGACACUACAGGAAGGAGUACGUGGUCUCCAACUUCGUCUCCAUCGCGUCCUUCCGCACGCCGGCGUGCCGCGAGCGCCGCCACUGGCGCGUUCUCGACUCCCGGCAUGGCCUCGUCCUCUUCCACACCCCUAAAAGGGACGAGGACUUCGCUAUCUGCGACCUCGUCACCGGCGAUGGGUGGAGAGUCAAGGCUGACCCCGACUGCGCUGACAUCAUCUGGAAUGGUUGGUCUGAUGAUGAUGACAACGAAUACGAGCAAGAGAACGAGGGUGUAACCUGGAAUGCCGCGGUUCUCUGUGCCAAGGACGGCUGCGACCAUAUCUACUGCCAUGGCGGCCCUUUCCUGGUGGCCCUUGUCGGCUCCGACGAGGAACAGAGGAUGACCUUUGCCGCCGUCUACUCAUCGGAAACUCGUAAAUGGAGUGACAUUGUCUCCAUUGAGGAACCGAAUGCCAUCGAGACGACGGGGCACAGUGCUGUUGUGGGAAACAAGGUCUAUUUCCCCUGUGAGGAGACCUACAGUCUUGUAGAGUAUGACAUGGCUGGGCAAAAAUUGUCGGUGAUUGCGCUAGCUGAAGAAGAGGACGAUGACCUGCCGUGGCUUGACCUCAUGGGUGUGGAGGACGGGAUGCUGCUGUUAGCGACUGUGAUGAACUUUAGACUCUGCCUAUGGUCAAUGGAGGCUGGUCCCAGCAAAACUGCAGUAUGGACACGACACAGGGUUAUCGAUCUCGUACCGUUGCUCCCUGCUAGUGCCCUCAUUGGCGUGUCGGUGGUUGGUUUUGCGGAAGGUGUUGGUGUCAUCUUCCUGAAUACGAAGGCUGGGCUAUACACAGUUGAGCUCAGUUCGGGCCGAAGCAAGAAGUUGCACGGGGAGACAUCUUUCGAAGAAGUCAUGCCCUACAUGAGCUUCUAUACUAGAGCAGAUAAACCGAAGCUAUCUUCACAUCUAUUCUCCUACACGAGGAUGCUGCAGAAGAAGGGUGAAAGUACCGCAGCUUAG
rnacentral:rRNA from 1 species